UACGUAGGGUGCAAGCGUUGUCCGGAAUUAUUGGGCGUAAAGAGCUCGUAGGCGGUUCGUCACGUCGGCUGUGAAAUCCCGAGGCUCAACCUCGGGUCUGCAGUCGAUACGGGCGGACUGGAGUACUGCAGGGGAGACUGGAAUUCCUGGUGUAGCGGUGGAAUGCGCAGAUAUCAGGAGGAACACCGAUGGCGAAGGCAGUUCUCUGGGCCGUAACUGACGCUGAGGAGCGAAAGCGUGGGGAGCGAACAGG
rnacentral:rRNA from 1 species